UUUUAUUAUUAGAUAGACGGUAAACGGGAUCACACGGGCACGAGCUUUAAGUGUAGUGUUCUCAACAAACGACAUGUGUUUACGUUGCGGGGCGCUCUCCUGUCACUCGGUGAUAUAAACCGCUAUAGUUUCCGUGGAAUUGUUAUUAGUAGCAAGCCUGUCACGGUCAAGACAUGGCGGGAAACUGUGAACCUGACAGACCUGAUAUUCAAAAUGGAAGGAGUAACGUGAUAAGUUUUGAAGUCAAGCCCUUCAAAACGUGAGAAACAACUUGAACAGAACGGCUAUUGUGGAAUAUUUACACCCACGUUGCCUUCUCUUAACGAAGUUAAACAAUACCUAGGGGUCCUAAUAUGUGGUAUUACGCUAUGGGGGACUUCAUGGUUCAUCUUCAAAGAUGCAGUCAUACCAGGAGGGUUCAUAUUCAACAUGACAGGAGUAGUAAUAGCUGGUUAUGUGUUCGGCCACACAUUAGAGAGGUACACAACUGUCAACCCGGUUGUCGGGAUGACUGUAGUUGGCGCACUGUAUAGAAACUUAGGCCCGCCAAGUUUCUUGGAUAAUCCUGUCGCUGACAUCAUUGAUUUUCAUUUACGGCGAAUUUACCCCGUAAUUAUCUUGACGAAGGGCCCACUCAGCUGGAACUGGGAAUAUAUAAAAAACAAUUCUUUGAAAGUUUUCUCAUUGGCAACCUUGCCUUGGCUCGUCGAGUGUUUGUCUACAGCCUUCUUCAGUCAUCUAUUGCUGGGCUUUCCAUGGUAUUGGGGUCUCCAUUUAGGUGCUAUACUCUCAUCAGUGUCCCCCGCAGUGGUGGUGCCAACUGUAAUGAGUCAUAGCGCCCGAGGAUUUGGCACCAAGAGUCAGAUCGCUCUUCUAGUUGGCAAUGCUGGAGGUCUGGACACCGCCUUCACUGAAGGCAUGUUUGGAAUCAUCAAUAGCGCUAUAUUCUACCAAUCUUCGUUGAUUUAUAGGAUUAUUAAGGCAGUGCUGGCAGUGUUUGUGGGAAUCGCCCUUGGAAUAUCGUGGGGCGUUUUAGCGGAUUUUGUCCCGGAUCAGGGAGACCCCUACGCCCCCGCAGUUCGAAGUUUGCUUAUUUUUGCCGGCGGUUUUCUACUUACUUAUGCUGGCGGAUACUUCGGAUGGGGCGGCACAUCUGGAGUGGCGAUCAUGGUGUGCGCGGGCGCCGCGGCCACGCGCUGGUCGCGGCGUGACUGGCCAAUCAACAACAACCCGGUGUCAGAGGUCUAUAAAGUUCUCUGGAGGAUCUUAGAGCCAAUGCUCUUUACGCUAAGCGGAUACUUCUUAGAGGUAUCACAGAUGUCGGUUCGGGAUUUCGGACUAAUAUUGGGAUGCAUAGUCGCAGCCUUGUCCUUUCGGCUGCUGACCGCCUUCCUGGUGUGUCUGGCGAAUGAACUCUCCGUGAAAGAGAGCCUGUUUGUAGCAGUCACUUGGAUUCCUAAAGCUAUAGUGGAGGCGGUUUUGGUUCGAGUUGCGACAGACUCGCUGUGGGACACCGCCUCGCCGAGAGACAAACGAGUGGCAGCGCAGCACGCGAAUAUAAUCGUUAUCGCCAUUAUCAUAACGUCCACUUUGGGGUCUGUGCUGACGACCGUGCUGGGACCGGUCCUGCUGUCGUCAGAAUCGCGAGUCGCUCCCGAAGAGGUGUACCAGAGCCAUGGUUUGCCUUCAGCCAAGCAUCUCUCCAGGAGGAACACUGUCCCAGGCUCCCUCCACCGCGUCGACGUUCAAUAAACAUUAUUAUAAAUGCAAACUGUACCUUAUUGAUACCUACUGAAUUAGCAUAAUUUCCCCGAAUAACUGUCAUUUUCCAACUUCAGAAACAGAUUAAAUGAACCUUUCGCGUUUUAUGAUAAUAGAUUCCCCGAAAAUACAUAAAACCAAACCCUACGAACGCUAUUAUCUACAAUACAUAAAUAUUCCAUUCCGAAGGGAAAGUUAUCCCGCCAAAUGUGUUGUUUUAGUUACUGGCCACCUUUAAGGAGGUGAACGCGCUAAGCACAAAGAAUAAAAGAAGAAAUAAAUCGCAUUUUCAUACAAAUCAAAUGCUUCACUUAAACGAAAAUGUAUGGAUCUCUCAUUUGUCUCUUUAUUGCUGGUGUCCCCUCAGGAAAAGAUUGAUGGUGGAGAUGAUGAGCACAUUCACCCCUUAAAACAAAUGCCGGUUACGACCGGUUAUU